rnacentral:lncRNA from 1 species
UGGCUUCGAUAUUUGUUGUGCUCUGAGUCUGAACAUCUCGUGUCAGAGUCUGUUGGCUUCAAUUGUCCUGGUGGUGGCAAGUCAUGGCAUCGUAGAGCUGGUUGGCUUCAGUUUUCUUGGUGUGGCGCAGAGUCGUGAGUUUGCUGGGUAUCUUAGAUUUCCAUGGUGGGCGAUGGCUGGGUGUAACUUCUGUAGAAAUCGAGUUGCAUACCACUUCAUAAUUUGGGCUGGCUUCGAUAUUUGCUAUGCGCCGAGUCUGAACAUCUCACGUCAGAGUCUGUUGGCUUAAAUUGUCCUGAUGGUGGCAUUGUCGAGUCAUGGCUUCGUAGAGCUGGUUGGCUUUAGUUUUCUAGGUGUGGCGCAGAGUCGCGAGUUGCUGGGUAUCUUAGAUUUCCAUGGUGGGCGUGUGCUGGCUGAUGGAUGUGGCAGGCUGUGUAUUUUUAUGGAUGAGUUCUCGCCGUUGUCUUUAUGGAGUCCUUGUAUGUUUAUAUUUCCAAUUAAAGGCUAUAUGUGACAACAUGAUGAUGGAUGCGG